AUCUAUGGCCAUACUACCCUGAAUGCUCCCAAACUUGGAAGCUAAGCGGGAUUGGGCCUGGUUAGUACUUGGAUGGGAGACCUGUGGGGACCCCUUAAAGAGUCUCAGGAA
ensembl:rRNA 5S_rRNA 5S ribosomal RNA